GAUGAACGCUGGCGGCGUGCCUAAUACAUGCAAGUCGAGCGAACAGACGAGGAGCUUGCUCCUCUGACGUUAGCGGCGGACGGGUGAGUAACACGUGGAUAACCUACCUAUAAGACUGGGAUAACUUCGGGAAACCGGAGCUAAUACCGGAUAAUAUAUUGAACCGCAUGGUUCAAUAGUGAAAGACGGUUUUGCUGUCCCUUAUAGCUGGAUCCGCGCCGCAUUAGCUAGUUGGUAAGGUAACGGCUUACCAAGGCGACGAUGCGUAGCCGACCUGAGAGGGUGAUCGGCCACACUGGAACUGAGACACGGUCCAGACUCCUACGGGAGGCAGCAGUAGGGAAUCUUCCGCAAUGGGCGAAAGCCUGACGGAGCAACGCCGCGUGAGUGAUGAAGGUCUUCGGAUCGUAAAACUCUGUUAUUAGGGAAGAACAAAUGUGUAAGUAACUAUGCACGUCUUGACGGUACCUAAUCAGAAAGCCACGGCUAACUACGUG
rnacentral:rRNA from 1 species